GUCUUUAAAAUUAAAAAAUUUGGCGGUAUUUUAGUCUGUUCAGAGGAACCUGUUUUUUAAUUGAUAGUCCACGAUGAUUUUUACUUUAACUUUAAGUUUGUAUAUCGUCGUUUAUAAAAAUUUUAGUAUUAAUUUUUUUCAGAUCAAGGUGUAGUUUAUGUUGAAGUUGGGAUGGGUUACAUUGAAAAUUUAAAUGAAAUUGGAUUUGAUAGUAAGCUCUAAAAUAUGUACAUAUCGCCCGUCGCUUUCAUUUUAAAGUGGAAUAAGUCGUAACAGAGUAGGCUUAUUGGAAAAUGGGCCUGGAAUGCAAAUUAGAGCUUGGUAAGUGCUUUAUUUACAUUAAAGGGUUGGUUGUGAAAUUCAACUUGAUUUGAUUGGAUUUGAUUAAUUUGUUUUUGGUUUUUUUAUUUUGAUAGAAGGAUUUAAUUGUUUUAUUUUUUGUUUGAAAAAAUUGUUUUAUAGUUUAUAGUAUUGUGAAAGAAUUUUUAUUAUUUUUAAAAGAAGAUUUUUUUUAUUGUACCUUGUGUAUCAGGGUUGAUUAAUUUGGUUUUCCCGAAUUUAGAAGGGCUACUUUUAAUGUUGAAUAAUUAUUUAAAAUUUUUUUGUAGUAAUGAAAUAUUAUUCGUUUUUAAAUAUAUCUGGUUUUCAAGGAAAUUAAUUUAAUUUAGGAAGUUUGGUUAGGGAUUUUAGGGGAUAAGCUUUUAAUUAAAUAUUUAUAAUUUUUUUAUUUUGGAUUUUUUAUAGGAUUAGAAUUUUCCAUUAAUUGAAGGAUGUUAUAAUUAAUUAAGUUUUUACUUGGAUUAAAAUUUUAAUUUUAGAUGUUUUGUGAUAAUGAUUAAAUUAGUAGAGUUAGCUUAAGGAAUUCGGCAAAUUGGAUUUUCACCUGUUUAAUAAAAACAUGUCCUUUUGAUUUUGAUUGAAGGUCUGACCUGCCCAAUGAUUAAAUGGCCGCAGUAUUUUGACUGUGCAAAGGUAGCAUAAUCAUUAGUUUCUUAAUUAGAAGCUGGAAUGAAAGGUUUGAUGAGAGAUCAACUGUCUCUUGAACUUUAUUUUUGAGUUAAAAAGCUCAAAUUUUGUAUAGGGACGAGAAGACCCUAUAGAGUUUUUUUGUUGGGGUGAUGGAGAAAUUAUUUAAACUUUCUUUUUGAGUGAUUGUUUGAUCCUAGAUUAAAAGAUUAAAUUACCUUAGGGAUAACAGCGUAAUUCCUUUUGAAAGUUCAUAUUU
rnacentral:rRNA from 1 species